rnacentral:rRNA from 1 species
CAGCCGUAAACAAUGUGCGUUAGGUGUGUCGGUAACCACGUGUUACUGAUGCGCCGAAGAGAAAUCGUGAAACGCACCACCUGGGAAGUACGGUCGCAAGGCUGAAACUUAAAGGAAUUGGCGGGGGAGCACCACAACAGGUGGAGCCUGCGGUUUAAUUGGAUUCAACGCCGGACAUCUCACCGGAUAAGACAGCUGAAUGAUUGCCGGGCUGAAGACCCUGCAUGACUAGCUGAGAGGAGGUGCAUGGCGUCAGUGACU